GUGCCAGCGCCGCGGUAAUACCGGCAGCCCGAGUGAUGGCCGAUCUUAUUGGGCCUAAAGCGUCCGUAGCUGGCUGCGCAAGUCCGUCGGGAAAUCCACUCGCUCAACGAGUGGGCGUCCGACGGAAACUGCACAGCUUGGGACCGGAAGGCUCGAAGGGUACGUUCGGGGUAGGAGUGAAAUCCCAUAAUCCCGCACGGACCACCGAUGGCGAAAGCACUCUGAGAAGACGGCUUCGACAGUGAGGGACGAAAGCUCGGGUCUCAAACCGGAUUAGAUAUCCCGGUAGUCC
rnacentral:rRNA from 1 species